AUUGAACGCUGGCGGCAGGCCUAACACAUGCAAGUCGAACGAGCGGCGGACGGGUGAGUAAUGUAUGGGAAACUGCCUGAUGGAGGGGGAUAACUACUGGAAACGGUGGCUAAUACCGCAUACCAUCGGAUGUGCCCAUAUGGGAUUAUCUAGUAGGUGGGGUAAAGGCUCACCUAGGCGACGAUCCCUAGCUGGUCUGAGAGGAUGAGCAGCCACACUGGAACUGAGAAACGGCCCAUACUCCUACGGGAGGCAGCAGUGGGGAAUAUUGCACAAUGGGCGCAAGCCUGAUGCAGCCAUGCCGCGUGUAUGAAGAAGGCCUUCGGGUUGUAAAGUACUUUCAGCGGGGAGGCGUUACCCGCAGAAGAAGCACCGGCUAACUCCGUGCCAGCAGCCGCGGUAAUAC
rnacentral:rRNA from 1 species